rnacentral:rRNA from 1 species
GACGAACGCUGGCGGCGUGGAUAAGACAUGCAAGUCGAGCGCUCAUUCGGUUGCAGUAAUGUAACCGAAUGGGAGCGGCGCAAGGGUGCGUAACACGUGGGUAAUUUGCCAAGAAGUUCGGGAUAACUCGCUGAAAGGCGAGCUAAUACCGGAUGUGAUAAUCGGGAGGCAUCUCUUGAUUAUUAAAGUUGGGGACCGUAAGGCCUGACGCUUCUUGAUAAGCCCGCGGCCUAUCAGCUAGUUGGUGAGGUAACGGCUCACCAAGGCUAAGACGGGUAGCUGGUCUGAGAGGACGACCAGCCACACUGGAACUGAGACACGGUCCAGACACCUACGGGUGGCAGCAGUCGAGAAUUUUUCACAAUGGGCGAAAGCCUGAUGGAGCGACGCCGCGUGGGGGAUGAAGGGCUUCGGCCCGUAAACCCCUGUCAUUUGCGAACAAACCUCGCUAUUUAAAAGAUGGCGAGCUGAUGGUAGCGAAAGAGGAAGGGACGGCUAACU